rnacentral:misc_RNA from 1 species
UUAAGUUCAGCGGGUAUCCCUACCUGAUCCGAGGUCAACCUUAAGAAGUUGGGUUGGGCGAGGCACCACAGGACCCAGAAGCGAGAGAGAUUACUACGCUUAGAGUCUUGCUUAGACUGCCAUUAGGUUUAGGAGCCGCCGAGUGGCGAGCCCCAACACCAAGCUGGGCUUGAUUGGUAUAAUGACGCUCGAACAGGCAU